rnacentral:rRNA from 1 species
UACAUGGGGUGCAAACGUUGCUCGGAAUUAUUGGGCGUAAAGCGCACGUAGGUGGUCUGUUAUGUCAGAUGUGAAAGCCCUCGGCUUAACUGAGGAAGUGCACCUGAAACUGGCAGGCUUGAGUACGAAAGAGGGUUGCGGAAUUCCCGGUGUAGAGGUGAAAUUCGUAGAUAUCGGGAGGAACACCGGUGGCGAAGGCGGCGAUCUGGGUAGAUACUGACGCUGAGGUGCGAAAGCGUGGGGGAGCAAACAGG